AAAACAGAUUUCUAAAACCUUUGUCACCUUGUCUUUGUUACGAUGCAGGUUACACACCUUUGUGUCCCAUCACAAUUUAACCAAACUAUGCCCUGUGGAAGAUUCUACAAGGCCACAUCUAAUGGAAGCAAUGAGCACAGCGGUAUUAAACUCAAAGAUCACAGUGAAAGCUGUAGCCCACAGUGUUGCUCACGAUUUCAGAGGAGAAUUGAAAAUGAGGAGGAAUGGAAUAUUCGCAAGUGUCUACUUGUCAACAAAGCGUGCCAGGUGUGUUCUCUCAUCUCCGGGGAUCAGCAGCUUCCUGUAAUCUCCCUUUAUGCCUUUCAUUCACUCUAAUCACAAGGAUUUUACAAGAGGCCCUCCUUGACCCCAGGCAUGAGCUCGGCCCUUUAUUUGUAAGUGAACUCAGCAGUGUUCACUUAACACUUUUAAGGAUCUGCGCCCAGGGAAGGGGAAGCGUGGUCAGACAGCAGGCUCUCUGAACUCACCUUUCUGGACAAAGAUCUCCCUAGGCAUUGUACACGCCUCCUUCUUUUCUUUCCCCUUGAGCUGUCCGGGUUUCACAGCAAGUUAUAAAGCGAAGAGCCUCACCUGCCUUUGAGACCACCUCCCCUUGGCCCAGCUCAGUAGCUGGUCCUCAGGUAAGUGCAUGUUAAGUUCCCAGACUGUUCCAGAGAGGGUGACCGACUGUCCUGGUUUGCCAGGACUCUCCUGCCUGGGAGACCUCCCAGUGUGGGGCAGACUGGGACCAUCAGUCACCCUAGCAGGGGACAGUAGGGAUCCCCUGGCUGUUUCUUUAGCAACCUGAGCGGCUCACUUGGGAGGCUGCAUGGCCGAGCAGGCGAAGCACUUACAGUGGAAGCGAGGCCUGUGAUGCUGUCAACUUGCUUCUUAACCCUAGGAUGCUGUGAGAAUUAAAUUACAUAGUAGCUGCAAAAUAAUUUGGCUUUCUUGGAGUUGGACACCACCUGAACCUGAGUGAAAUGAUUGUGCACUUCUUAAUGGCCUCCAUCUCUGGCCAAGCUGCCUUGGGACCAGAACAAUCAUCUAAGUCCCAGUUUCCAGCCUAAAACAGCAUGAGGACAAGGCCAGGAGGCCACAGCAAGGCUGUAAUCAGAACCCACAAGGAUUGCAUGGAGAUGCUGCAGUGCCGCCACCACCCAACGGCCGGAGCCCCCAGCAAAGAGUUUUCCACAAAAUGGGAGAAAAGUAUAAGAAGCUCUUCCUGCUAUGGGUAAGGUAGUGAAAUUACAAGUCAUUCACUAAAUAUAAAUUCAAAUGUAAAGAUAUAUGUGAUUCUUGAAUAUAUGAAAUGUGUUCAGAUAGUCUUUCAAGGAGCCCAGCUGCCUGACCCCUAUAAGGACCCCAGGACACUGUCCUCUGGAGUGGAGCUGUAUUUGAUGUGUGUUUAUCCAUCACUAGACUGUAAGUGACAGAUAAAUCUUACAACAGGGCUCAUGUCUGCUUUAUCUUCAUUUUAUCUCCAGAGCCCCAAUACAAUGCUUCGUACCUAGAAGGCUCUCAGAAACAGAAAUCUGGUGAAUUAGUUAAAUUAUAUGCUUCUCUGCCCUCUGCCCUCCAUAAGAAAAAAAGAAAAGACCUAUAAAAGGCAUUCUGAA
rnacentral:lncRNA from 1 species